rnacentral:misc_RNA from 1 species
GCUAGUGAAUUUGUUGAAAUGUUUGUUGGAAGAGGAGCUGCUCGCAUUAGAGACCUUUUCAGUGUAGCAAGAAAGAAUGCUCCUUCAAUCAUUUUCAUUGAUGAACUAGAUGCUGUCGGAGGAAAGCGUGGCAGGAGUUUCAAUGAUGAGAGAGACCAAACCUUGAAUCAGUUGCUCACAGAGAUGGAUGGCUUUGAAUCGGACUUGAAUAUCAUUGUAGUUGCUGCUACUAAUAGACCAGAAGCUCUAGAUCCAGCACUAUGUCGGCCUGGACGUUUCUCCAGGAAAAUCUUAGUGGGAGAACCUGAUGAAGAUGGAAGGAGAAAGAUCCUGGCUGUACACUUGAG